UGGAUGUGUAGUAGGAUCAAUCUCAUUACUAAGUGAGGUUCCCAACAAGAGAGAAACCACUGCCACUGGUCCUAUUGCGAUAUCACGGGAGCUACCCAUGACAGCAUAGAUUAGUGGUGGAACAAAGCUUGAGUCUGCAAAUGGCAACACAAAAAUCUCAGUCCAACGAAAAAAAGCAAGGUUCUGUCGUGGAGGAAUUCCCACUUUGUGCACAUAUGGUGGUGCCUGUUGUUGGCCUUGUGAUGAAGAUAUUGAAAAGCUUCUCUCAUCCAUCUGUUUUGUUUCAAGGUUCUCUUCAGCUGAAGCACCCAUUGAAGACAUUAACAAUAAUGCCCCUUCACCUAUACAAGGUUAUUAUGUUGCAUGCAGUUUAUCAAUACAUAACACAACCAGAUGAAAUAUAAUGUAUGCAAAGUUCUGAGAUGUUUCAACUUUUAACCCACCUGAAUGGAACAAGUGUAAGCUGAAGGAAGCUUUGAUUCUGGAGUAGGAGCUGUGAAGUUAUGGGAUAAUAUAACUCCAAGGACUGUGAUAAGUCUAAGUCAAUGUUAUCAAGCUGAAACAAGCAGAAACAUGAAAAUAUUAAUGUGUGAACAGAGAUAUCAUACAUGUCACAGUCAAUGCACUAAUAAUUUAUGCAUAAUUUUCAACUC